AAUGAAGGAAACAUUCGGUUUAGAGCGCGCUUUCGACAGCGGCGUGCGCACACUCGUCUGACGUUAAGCUCAUUAUGACGUCAUAAGUAAGUGGGUUAGCCCCUAUCUCUCCCUGCUCUAACUGUUCCCAAGACAUCUCGCGGGCGAUGCCAAAAGCAACACCCUGUAAUCUAGCUGCAUACCACUCGCACCGCAGGCUGGUAUAUCACCUUCGCAUCUCUUAUCUAUCUGCCCGGAUAGAGUCAGUUUUCUGUGGCCACAAGUGAUACGCAAUAAUUAAUAUUUAUUGGUGGCCAGCGAAUAUUUAAUCUCUUCACACCCGACUUGUAAAAAAACAAUAAAUGAUAAAUCUCUG